CCUUUGCAGUCAAGAUUCUGCAAGAAAAGAGUCACAAAUCAAAACACCAGAAAACUAAAAAAGUAUGUUUUGUUUUUUCUUAUAUAACUGCGCAUGCGCAGGCUACCUCUCAGUGCCAUACCAACCGGGAAAGACAUCGUCCAUCAUCAUCAUCAACUGUCCUCCGUUAACAUGGACAAACCAACCACUGUGAAACAGGCGAUCGCCAAAUGGG